GUUUUCCGACUGCAGUCAUCUCCUCAUACUCCUCCCAACAUGUGUAUACACAGAUACCUUUAAUCCUCCACUUCAUGACAUCAUCACGGACAUGGAGAAAAGUUACCUGUUGAAGUGGCUUGCCAAAUUAUUCUCAUCACAGAUAAGAGCUGAGAAGCUGAAAAAAGCUGAGUAAUUUUGCAUAGAGGCAUGAAGCUUUCCAUCAUCAACCAAGAAUAAUAUCAUG
rnacentral:lncRNA from 1 species